rnacentral:rRNA from 1 species
AUGAACGCUAGCGGCAGGCUUAACACAUGCAAGUCGAGGGGUAACGGGGAAGCUUGCUUCCGCCGACGACCGGCGCACGGGUGCGUAACGCUUAUACAAUCUACCUUAUACUGGGGUAUAGCCUUUAGAAAUGAAGAUUAAUCCCCCAUAGUCUCUUAGAGUGGCAUCACUUCUAGAGUAAAGGUUACGGUAUAAGAUGAGUAUGCGUUCUAUUAGUUUGUUGGUGUGGUAACGGCACACCAAGACUACGAUAGAUAGGGGCCCUGAGAGGGGGAUCCCCCACACUGGUACUGAGACACGGACCAGACUCCUACGGGAGGCAGCAGUGAGGAAUAUUGGACAAUGGAGGCAACUCUGAUCCAGCCAUGCCGCGUGUAGGAUGACUGCCCUAUGGGUUGUAAACUACUUUUAUACAGGAAGAAACCCCGCUACGUGUAGCGGUUUGACGGUACUGUAAGAAUAAGGAUCGGCUAACUCCGUGCCCAGCAGCCGCGGUAAUACGGAGGAUCCAAGCGUUAUCCGGAAUCAUUGGGUUUAAAGGGUCCGUAGGUGGAUAAUUAAGUCAGAGGUGAAAUCUUGCAGCUCAACUGUAAAAUUGCCUUUGAUACUGGUUAUCUUGAGUUAUUAUGAAGUAGUUAGAAUAUGUAGUGUAGCGGUGAAAUGCAUAGAUAUUACAUAGAAUACCAAUUGCGAAGGCAGAUUACUAAUAAUCAACUGACACUGAUGGACGAAAGCGUGGGUAGCGAACAGGAUUAGAUACCCUGGUAGUCCACGCCGUAAACGAUGGUUACUAGCUGUUUGGACUUCGGUCUGAGUGGCUAAGCGAAAGUGAUAAGUAACCCACCUGGGGAGUACGUUCGCAAGAAUGAAACUCAAAGGAAUUGACGGGGGCCCGCACAAGCGGUGGAGCAUGUGGUUUAAUUCGAUGAUACGCGAGGAACCUUACCAGGGCUUAAAUGUAAGUUGCAUUAGUUAGAGAUAGCUAUUUCUUCGGACCACUUACAAGGUGCUGCAUGGUUGUCGUCAGCUCGUGCCGUGAGGUGUCAGGUUAAGUCCUAUAACGAGCGCAACCCCUGUUGUUAGUUGCCAGCGAGUCAUGUCGGGAACUCUAGCAAGACUGCCAGUGCAAACUGUGAGGAAGGUGGGGAUGACGUCAAAUCAUCACGGCCCUUACGUCCUGGGCUACACACGUGCUACAAUGGUAGGUACAGAGAGCAGCCACUGCGCGAGCAGGAGCGAAUCUAUAAAACCUAUCACAGUUCGGAUCGGAGUCUGCAACUCGACUCCGUGAAGCUGGAAUCGCUAGUAAUCGGAUAUCAGCCAUGAUCCGGUGAAUACGUUCCCGGGCCUUGUACUCACCGCCCG